rnacentral:rRNA from 1 species
GUGGGGAAUAUUGCACAAUGGGCGAAAGCCUGAUGCAGCAACGCCGCGUGAAGGAAGAAGGCCCUUGGGUCGUAAACUUCUGUUCUAAGGGAAGAUAAUGACGGUACCUUAGGAGCAAGUCCCGGCUAACUACGUGCCAGCAGCCGCGGUAAUACGUAGGGGGCGAGCGUUAUCCGGAAUUAUUGGGCGUAAAGAGUACGUAGGUGGUUAUCUAAGCGAGGGGUUUAAGGCAAUAGCUCAACUAUUGUUUGCCCCGCGAACUGGGUGACUUGAGUGCUGGAGAGGAAAGCGGAAUUCCUAGUGUAGCGGUGAAAUGCGUAGAUAUUAGGAGGAACAUCAGUGGCGAAGGCGGCUUUCUGGACAGUAACUGACACUGAGGUACGAAAGUGUGGGGAGCAAACAGGAUUAGAUACCCCAGUAGUCC